GGGAACAGGAACAAGAAAGCUUGUGACAUCUGACCACAUACAUGAAGAAGUCUCUCCUGGCACCAUAAAAAAGGAGACAUAACUUCAGGAGAGAAGAAAUUCAUGUUGGAGGAAGAAAGAAAAAUUUGGAGAAUCACAAGGACAUUGACAAACUAUGGUGCACGCAGAAGAGGUGUACCAAGAUGAUGAAAGACUGGAAAUCACACCCUUGGGACAGAUUAAAGGAACCAGGGAUGUUUAACCUGGAGAAAUGAAAACAUAUGGGGCAUGAGGAGUUGUGGAGUGAAGAGAAAGGAGACCUAAGAAGAAGAAAAGGACAGUUUUCUGCUCCUCUGAUCACUAGGGAGAGAGAGGCAAACAAUGGCAAGGUAUGAAGACAGAGGAGCAUUCAGGCUCCUAACAGCAGGUUAGAUCUGAAGAAUUGCAUGAUAUUUUCAAUAAAAUACUGUUUUUAUUAUCUUCUAAAUGUGUU
rnacentral:lncRNA from 1 species